GAUGAACGCUGGCGGCGUGCCUAAUACAUGCAAGUCGAGCGAACAGACGAGGAGCUUGCUCCUCUGACGUUAGCGGCGGACGGGUGAGUAACACGUGGAUAACCUACCUAUAAGACUGGGAUAACUUCGGGAAACCGGAGCUAAUACCGGAUAAUAUAUUGAACCGCAUGGUUCAAUAGUGAAAGACGGUUUUGCUGUCACUUAUAGAUGGAUCCGCGCCGCAUUAGCUAGUUGGUAAGGUAACGGCUUACCAAGGCAACGAUGCGUAGCCGACCUGAGAGGGUGAUCGGCCACACUGGAACUGAGACACGGUCCAGACUCCUACGGGAGGAAGCAGUAGGGAAUCUUCCGCAAUGGGCGAAAGCUUGACGGAGCAACGCCGCGUGAGUGAUGAAGGUCUUCGGAUCGUAAAACUCUGUUAUUAGGGAAGAACAAAUGUGUAAGUAACUAUGCACGUCUUGACGGUACCUAAUCAGAAAGCCACGGCUAACUACGUG
rnacentral:rRNA from 1 species